UUGCUAAUUAUGGCAGCUUGUGCAUUUUGUGCAUUUUGUGUUGGACCUUAUUAGCAGCUCAGGAACUGAAGCAUCUUUUGCAGCCAGAUAUGGUUGUUUGGUUAUCAUAGAAAAUGUUGAGCGUCUAGCUGUUGGAGCAUUAGUCUCUAUAAGGGGAAUUGGUCGUGUCAAGAUUGUGAAAUUUUUGCAGUCAGAGCCUUACUUGAUAGGUGAAGUUAUCCAACAAAGGACUAAGAUUAUCCUUCGAAGGUGAAACAUUAUAAACUCAAAAAUAACUACAGUAAAGGAGGUCUCUUUACAGUUUGAAU